AAUAAGAUGACUGAAAUAAAGUAAAAGAUUGUAACUCUUUGUAUGGUUUAACCCUCUUAUUU
rnacentral:tRNA from 1 species